ACGAACGCUGGCGGCGUGCUUCACACAUGCAAGUCGAACGGAAAGGCCCUGCUUUUGUGGGGUGCUCGAGUGGCGAACGGGUGAGUAACACGUGAGUAACCUGCCCUUGACUUUGGGAUAACUUCAGGAAACUGGGGCUAAUACCGGAUAGGAGCUCCUGCUGCAUGGUGGGGGUUGGAAAGUUUCGGCGGUUGGGGAUGGACUCGCGGCUUAUCAGCUUGUUGGUGGGGUAGUGGCUUACCAAGGCUUUGACGGGUAGCCGGCCUGAGAGGGUGACCGGCCACAUUGGGACUGAGAUACGGCCCAGACUCCUACGGGAGGCAGCAGUGGGGAAUAUUUCACAAUGGGCGGAAGCCUGAUGCAGCAACGCCGCGUGCGGGAUGACGGCCUUCGGGUUGUAAACCGCUUUCGCCUGUGACGAAGCGUGAGUGACGGUAAUGGGUAAAGAAGCACCGGCUAACUACGUG
rnacentral:rRNA from 1 species